CCCUAUGGGGUGCAGCAGGCGAGAAAACUUUGCAAUGUGCGAAAGCACGACAAGGUUAAUCCGAGUGGUUUGUGCUAAACGAACCUUUUGACAGUCCUAGAAACACUGUUGAAUAAGGGGUGGGCAAGUUCUGGUGUCAGCCGCCGCGGUAAAACCAGCACCUCAAGUGGUCAGGAUGAUUAUUGGGCCUAAAGCAUCCGUAGCCGGCUCUAUAAGUUUUCGGUUAAAUCUGUACGCUCAACGUACAGGCUGCCGGGAAUACUGCAGAGCUAGGGAGUGGGAGAGGUAGACGGUACUCGGUAGGAAGGGGUAAAAUCCUUUGAUCUAUUGAUGACCACCUGUGGCGAAGGCGGUCUACCAGAACACGUCCGACGGUGAGGGAUGAAAGCUGGGGGAGCAAACCGGAUUAGAUACCCGGGUAGUCCCAGCUGUAAACUAUGCAAACUCAGUGAUGCAUUGGCUUGUGGCCAAUGCAGUGCUGCAGGGAAGCCGUUAAGUUUGCCGCCUGGGAAGUACGUACGCAAGUAUGAAACUUAAAGGAAUUGGCGGGGGAGCACCACAAGGGGUGAAGCCUGCGGUUCAAUUGGAGUCAACGCCAGAAAUCUUACCCGGAGAGACAGCAGAAUGAAGGUCAAGCUGAAGACUUUACCAGACAAGCUGAGAGGAGGUGCAUGGCC
rnacentral:rRNA from 1 species